rnacentral:rRNA from 1 species
GCAGCAGCCACGGGAAUACGGAGGGAGCUAGCGUUGUUCGGAAUCACUGGGCGUAAAGCGCACGUAGGCGGCUACUCAAGUCAGGGGUGAAAGCCCGGGGCUCAACCCCGGAACUGCCUUUGAAACUAGAUAGCUUGAAUCUUGGAGAGGCGAGUGGAAUUCCGAGUGUAGAGGUGAAAUUCGUAGAUAUUCGGAAGGACACCAGUGGCGAAGGCGACUCGCUGGACAAGUAUUGACGCUGAGGUGCGAAAGCGUGGGGAGCAAACAGGAUUAGAUACCCCCGUAGUCCCUGUCUCUUAUAC